AAUUGGACUCAUUUUGUGAGUGUCGCGACGCGUGUUCAAUACUAUAUACAAUAUUAAGUUGAAGUUAAGAUGAAGCGUAUAUAAUAUACAAGCUACAAUGUUCGACAAAAGAUCUCAUUUAUGUUGAAAUUACUUUGACAUUAUCACUUCACUCCGACUAAAAGUGCAGAAGUUUUCUGGACAGUCUUCAAGACUAGUAAUUUGAAUUCAUGACUAGUAAUUUGAGUUCAUGGAAAGAGGAGAAUGCCAACGAAGUGUUUUGUAUCGUGGCAAAUGAAGAUAGUGGGCCUCCUCUACGUACCAGGAUAAAUUUUAUACGGC